AUACCGGGCCUUUUUGGGCUUGGUAAUUGGAAUGAGGGAGAGUUAAACGGACCAUCGAGUAUCCAUUGGAGGGCAAGUCUGGUGCCAGCAGCUGCGGUAAUACCAGCUCCAAUAGCGUAUAUUAAAGUUGUUGCAGUUAAAAAGCUCGUAGUUGGACUUGUGUGCGCUGUCCGCGGGUGGCCUGCGCCCAAAAGGGCGUUUCGGUUCGGCCCCGGUGGCGCCUUGAAAUCUGCAGCUGGGGGGACGUUGGCCUUAACUGGUCGGCGACCGCACGCCGGCUGCUCGGUUACUGUGAGAAAAUUAGAGUGUUCAAGGCAGGCAUUGGGUGCAAUUGAAUACAUUAGCAUGGAAUAAUAAAAUAUGGCUCCUGCCGUAUUUUGUUGGUUUUGACUGGUGGGAGUAAUGAUUGAUAGGGACGGUUGGGGGUGCUAGUAUUGAGCGGCCAGAGGUGAAAUUCAUGGAUUCGCUCAAGACUAACUUAUGCGAAGGCAUUCACCAAGGACGUCCUCUUUAAUCAAGAACGAAAGUUGGGGGAUCGAAGACGAUCAGAUACCGUCGUAGUCUCAACCAUAAACUAUGUCGACUUGGGAUCGGCGGUAGUUUUUUCAUUAAGACACUGUCGGGACCACGGGAGAAAUCAAAGUGUCUGGACUCUGGGGGAAGUAUGGUCGCAAGGCUGAAACUUGAAGGAAUUGACGGAAGGGCACCACCAGGAGUGGAGCCUGCGGCUUAAUUUGACCCAACGCGGGGAAACUUACCAGGUCCAGAGAUGUAGAGGAUUGACAGAUUGAAGCUCUUUCUUGAUCACUUCGGUGGUGGUGCAUGGCCGUUCUUAGUUGGUGGAGUGAUUUGUCUGGUUAAUUCCGUUAACGAACGAGACCUCAGCCUGCUAGUGUAGUCGGCUGGAUUGCCUUUGGCGAUCCGUGAUUUCGACUUCUUAGAGGGACAAUCGACGCGCAGUCGAUGGAAGUUUGAGGCAAUAACAGGUCUGUGAUGCCCUUAGAUGUUCUGGGCCGCACGCGCGCUACACUGCUGGGCUCAGCGAGUUUUACUUGGCCGAGAGGCCCGGUUAAUCUUGUGAAAUCCCAGCGUGCUUGGGCUCGCCUCCUGCAACUGGAGGCGCCAACGAGGAAUUCCUAGUAGACGCAGGUCAUCAACCUGCAUCGAUUACGUCCCUGCCCUUUGUACACACCGCCCGUCGUUCCAUAAGAGUGAGGCAUCCGGUGAAUUCUCGGGAGAGCCUGGGCGUGGCCAGCAAUGGUCUGCUCGGGUUUGAACUUGCAUAAACUUGGUGCCUAUGAUUAGGG
rnacentral:rRNA from 1 species